UACGAAGGGGGCUAGCGUUGUUCGGAUUUACUGGGCGUAAAGCGCGUGUAGGCGGACUUGUAAGUUGGGGGUGAAAUCCCGAGGCUCAACCUCGGAACUGCCUCCAAAACUACAAGUCUGGAGCAAGAUAGAGGCAAGUGGAAUUGCGAGUGUAGAGGUGAAAUUCGUAGAUAUUCGCAGGAACACCAGUGGCGAAGGCGACUCGCUGGUCCGGUACUGACGCUGAUGUGCGAAAGCGUGGGGAGCAAACAGG
rnacentral:rRNA from 1 species